rnacentral:rRNA from 1 species
CAAACCGGAGGAAGUGGGGAGUGACGUCAAGUCAUCAUGGCCCUUACGGCCUGGGCUACACACGUGCUACAAUGGUCGGUACAAAGGGUUGCCAAGCCGCGAGGUGGAGCUAAUCCCAUAAAACCGAUCGUAGUCCGGAUCGCAGUCUGCAACUCGACUGCGUGAAGUCGGAAUCGCUAGUAAUCGUGAAUCAGAAUGUCACGGUGAAUACGUUCCCGGGCCUU